UACGUAGGGGGGCUAGCGUUGUCCGGAAUCAUUGGGCGUAAAGCGCGUGUAGGCGGUCCGGUAAGUCCGCUGUGAAAGUCGGGGGGCUCAACCCUCGAAUGCCGGUGGAUACUGUCGGGCUAGAGUGCGGAAGAGGCGAGUGGAAUUCCUGGUGUAGCGGUGAAAUGCGCAGAUAUCGGGAGGAACACCAAUUGCGAAGGCAGCUCGCUGGGACGGUACUGACGCUGAGGCGCGAAAGCGUGGGGAGCAAACAGG
rnacentral:rRNA from 1 species